UACAUGAUCUGGCCUACAUGUGACUGCAGACCCACAGCAAUAUGAUUGACUUUGAACUGUCCCCUGGGCAAUUAGGGAUGGACAAUAAACACUGCGUAGCUAGGGAUGUCCUCCUCCCAUUAACAAAUAAAUAAAAUUGGAUUCUACAUCUUCCGAUCCAAGAUCGUUUCUUGCUCUCGUACUAAUUUCUUUGCUUACAGUCACUUUCCCUCCUGCCUGUCUUUUUGGAAUGUCGUAUAGCCCUGCGCACUUAGCUCCAGUGUUGAUCUCCUUGUACCCAUGUCUUUGUAAUAGCUAUAAAAUCAUGCCCGUCAACCUAGAAAUGUGCUAUUAAUUUGUUGAUUUUGUUCUGAAUACAAUGAGCACGCAAGCAAAGAGCCAUGAAUUUAGCUUUAUCACUUGAUUUCACCUCUUGACACUAUUUACAGCUGUUUUCUGUUUGUACAUGCUGUCUUUUCCAGUACCACGCUGAGUAUUGUUAUCCCGAUAGUUCUUUCGUAUCAGUCCGUGUGUAUUCCUGGGCGAAUGUGCUCGUGUGGUCUCAGGAGUUGCGGAGGUCACGGCUCUGGGACAGCCGUUUCAUCGCCCUAUGCUGCAGGAAAAAAGCAAUGAAAGUGCCGUUAAUUUUUUGCAUGGCGAGCUGCUGCAUACUAACCGGUCUCUCACCAUUACCAACACCUUGCCCUUGUGAAGGCAGAUAUGGAUAAGGUUCUCAAAGCUGAUAGAAGAUUGAAACCACUCUAAUCCUGUGACGAUCAUUCUGAUGUCGGUAACUGGAAAGCCUCCAUUGUUGGAGGACGAGAAGCCGUAUCCAAUUGAAGCAGCACAGGCUUCUGCGAUGACUGUGGAAACCACUGCUUAUGCCUUGCUUCAAGCAUUGUCAAGGAACGAUAUUGACUAUGCAACACCGAUUGCGAGGUGGCUAA